rnacentral:lncRNA from 1 species
GUAACUACUGUGGGGUGCAUCUCAAUGCACUGCCCCUAAAUAAAUGACAAUCUGGUUAACAAAGCAGCACUGGUUUUAGACAGAUGACAAAGCAUUUAUGGCACUGCAAUGAGAUUCAGAACAGCCAUCUCACGCUACUCCCCACUCCAUCAGGCGACUGUCCUGCGCGUCUCAGGAUGCCUGGCCAACUGACGCUCAGAGGACAUGACACGUAUUGAUGGCAUCACGGCCUCCAAAUGCUCCACCAAAUGUUCAAACACAGAGCAGGAUGAAGAGGAGAGACACUGGGGUGGCAGCCACAAAUAAGCAGCAGGCUUGCUUCACACCGGCUGGGCCCAGUGAAGAUAUCCAGAAGUCAGAAUAUUUGAGGCUCAUAUCCCAAAGAGAGUAAGGAAGAAAGAAGGGAAUAUUUUCUGAGGUGAAAGUCCAAAAGUAUCUCAUGUUCUCAGAUAACCUUCAUACUGCACAAGGCUAUGGUUCUA